CGGCACGCUUAACACAUGCAAGUCGAACGAGAGAAGAGAAGCUUGCUUUUCUGAUCUAGUGGCGGACGGGUGAGUAACACGUGAGCAAUCUGCCUUUCAGAGGGGGAUACCGAUUGGAAACGAUCGUUAAUACCGCAUAACAUAAUUGAACCGCAUGAUUUGAUUAUCAAAGAUUUAUCGCUGAAAGAUGAGCUCGCGUCUGAUUAGCUAGUUGGUAAGGUAACGGCUUACCAAGGCGACGAUCAGUAGCCGGACUGAGAGGUUGAUCGGCCACAUUGGGACUGAGACACGGCCCAGACUCCUACGGGAGGCAGCAGUGGGGAAUAUUGCACAAUGGAGGAAACUCUGAUGCAGCGAUGCCGCGUGAGGGAAGAAGGUUUUAGGAUUGUAAACCUCUGUCUUCAGGGACGAAAAAAGACGGUACCUGAGGAGGAAGCUCCGGCUAACUACGUGCCAGCAGCCGCGGUAAUACGUAGGGAGCGAGCGUUGUCCGGAAUUACUGGGUGUAAAGGGAGCGUAGGCGGGAUCGCAAGUCAGAUGUGAAAACUAUGGGCUUAACCCAUAAACUGCAUUUGAAACUGUGGUUCUUGAGUGAAGUAGAGGUAAGCGGAAUUCCUAGUGUAGCGGUGAAAUGCGUAGAUAUUAGGAGGAACAUCAGUGGCGAAGGCGGCUUACUGGGCUUUAACUGACGCUGAGGCUCGAAAGCGUGGGGAGCAAACAGGAUUAGAUACCCUGGUAGUCCACGCCGUAAACGAUGAUUACUAGGUGUGGGGGGACUGACCCCUUCCGUGCCGCAGCAAACGCAAUAAGUAAUCCACCUGGGGAGUACGACCGCAAGGUUGAAACUCAAAGGAAUUGACGGGGGCCCGCACAAGCAGUGGAGUAUGUGGAUUAAUUCGAAGCAACGCGAAGAACCUUACCAGGUCUUGACAUCGUAUGCAUAGCUCAGAGAUGAGUGAAAUCUCUUCGGAGACAUAUAGACAGGUGGUGCAUGGUUGUCGUCAGCUCGUGUCGUGAGAUGUUGGGUUAAGUCCCGCAACGAGCGCAACCCUUACUGUUAGUUGCUACGCAAGAGCACUCUAGCAGGACUGCCGUUGACAAAACGGAGGAAGGUGGGGAUGACGUCAAAUCAUCAUGCCCCUUAUGACCUGGGCCUCACACGUACUACAAUGGCUGUCAACAGAGGGAUGCAAAGCCGCGAGGUGGAGCGAACCCCUAAAAGCAGUCUUAGUUCGGAUUGUAGGCUGCAACCCGCCUACAUGAAGUCGGAAUUGCUAGUAAUCGCAGAUCAGCAUGCUGCGGUGAAUACGUUCCCGGGCCUUGUACACACCGCCCGUCACGCCAUGGGAGUCGGUAACACCCGAAGCCUGUAGUCUAACCGCAAGGAGGACGCAGUCGAAGGUGGGAUUGAUGACUGGGGUGAAGUCAUA
rnacentral:rRNA from 1 species